AUACUUCUCCCUUUCUUCUAAAGGUCUUAACGCCCUUUUAAUUGCCGAGUCCUCUGCACCGUUCAAACACUCUCUUCUUCAUCUCUUUCUUUUGUUUCUUUCUUCUUCAUCAAUGGCGAAAACCAGUGGACUCUCCAUUGAUUUUGAUCCAAACUAUUUCUUAAUACACAACCCACCUGUCCUCAAUUCUUUCCCCGAAUACACUCCCAAAGACACCAACAAAAACAACAACAACAACAAUACAAUGUUUUCUGGUACUACAACAACGCCGGAAAACAUGUCUCUGCCAUCUACCGUCGACCGGUUCCCCGUUAAAUUCGACUGUUUUUACGAUCAAACCCGCCCUUCUUUUUUACCCUCCGAUGAUGAUAAACGAAGGGUCGUCGGUGAACUGGAUUUUUUCGCUGAAAAAAACGAUAAACUCGUCGAUGAUGCUGAUUUCAUGCACACUUCCGAUGCCGGACUUGAGCUUAACGUCAACAUUGGUCUAAACCUGUUAACUACAAAUACCAGUGCCGAUCAGUCCACCAUGGAAGAUAAAAAAGCUAAUAAUGAGGUAGCUGUUUUACGAGCUAAGCUGGUACAAAUGAACGCUGAGAAUGAAAGAUUAAAGGAGAUGUUGAUUCAGGCAACUGAGAACUAUAAUACAAUGAAGAUUCAUUUGUGUUCAUUGAUGAUGAAAAAGCUAAAGAAGAAGAUGAAGAAAAUAAGAAACGAAAUGGUGGAAUAAUAGUGCCAAGACAGUUUAUAGAUCUUGGUUUAGCUGUCGCCGCCGAAGCCGAUGAGUCGUCUCCGUCGUCUCCGGAAGGCAAGAGCCAGCGUGAAGAUAGCUCCGGUGGUGAUAACAAGGUUCCGAGACUCGAUGUUGAUCAAAGUGAGGCCGCCAUGAGAAAAGCACGAGUUUCCGUUCGAGCUAGAUCAGAGGCUCCGAUGAUUACGGAUGGAUGUCAAUGGAGGAAGUACGGACAGAAAAUGGCAAAGGGAAAUCCGUGUCCACGAGCAUAUUAUCGAUGUACUAUGGCUACCGGUUGUCCCGUUAGAAAACAGGUUCAAAGAUGUGCCGAAGAUCGAACAAUUCUUAUCACCACAUACGAAGGCAAUCACAACCACACUUUGCCUCCAUCGGCGAUGUCGAUGGCAUCGACGACGUCAUCAGCAGCACGAAUGUUGGUAUCGGGUUCAACGUCUAGUCCCGACGGACUGAUGAACUCGAAUCUCCUCACCACAACUCUCCUGCCUUGCUCUUCCACCAUGGCUACUGUAUCGGCUUCAACUCCAUUCCCCAGCGUUACCUUGGAUUUAACACAGUCCUCGUUUUCGACCCCUCCGCCGCCUUACAACGUUGCCAAUUCUGUAGCGGUUACCGCCCCAUUGGUGCCUCAAGUUUCCGGCCAGGCACAUGACAAUCUGUCCAAAUUCGCCGGUAUACAAAUGUCUAAAGAUUUGGAUCGGUUGCAACAGGGUGAACAAAAUUCAAUUGGUGACACUGUAAAUGCGGCCACGGGAGCCAUUGCGACGGACCCGAGCUUCGCCGCUGCUCUAGCCGCGGCUAUUACAUCUAUUAUUGCGAGUUCUCAAUCUCACCCCAAUAAUGGCCAUAAUAGCAAUGCAAUGUAGGACAACAAUGAAAUACAGUUUUGUUGCAAUAUUUUGUCAAACAAAGAAAUGUUUACAAGGGUAGUGUAGUAAUAUUCUUUCCUCAAAUGACUUAUUUGGUCCAAAAAGUAUGUCAAUGCAAAGUCAAGAAAAUAAUAUAAAAUGAAAGGGAAAUUUAUUUAUUUCUAUCGAUUAGUUGAUAUACUUUAUGCGUAUAUGCAAGUAAUAUCUUACACUUUAAAGAUUAAAAAAUUAUAAAUAUUAAAGAAUUAUUUACCAAUUUAUUAUAAUUUGUAAUUUUUAUAUAGAAUAAUUGUAAUUGAGAUAGAAAAAGAGAUGAUGAAUUAUCAAGAAA